rnacentral:rRNA from 1 species
AUCAGGCGGAAGACUUGGCUUGGGAAGCCGAGGAAGGGCGUGGCAAGCUGCGAUAAGCUCUGGCGAGCCGCAUGCAGGCUAAGAACCAGAGAUUCCCUAAUAGGACUUCCUGCCUUUUUAGGCGCUUCCAUUGGAAGCGGGAACGCGGGGAACUGAAACAUCUAAGUACCCGCAGGAAGAGAAAUCAAUAGAGAUGCCGUUAUUAGCAGCGAGCGAAGGCGGCUUAGGGCAAACCGAAUCCUGCACGGCAACGUGUGGGACAUGUGGUGUGGAUUGGGCAGUUCUUUUAUCCAAGCUGGCAACUUGAAGUAUACUGGAAAGUAUCGCCAUAGAGGGUGAAAGCCCCGUAAAGGAUACCAAGCCUGGAUUUUGAGCUGUUCCAGAGUAAGGCCCAUUGGAAAUUGGGCUUGAAGUUGGGUGCCACUAACAUCCAACCCUAAACACUACCCAAGACCGAUAGAGAAUAGUACCAUGAGGGAACGUUGAAAAGAACCCUUGGCGGGGAUUUAAAAGAGCCUGAAACCUGAUAGCAAUAGUAAGACAGGGCUUUAUGUGAGUUCUGUCAUCCGUUUUGAAUAACGGGCCAGGGAGUCUGUUUCAGUGGCAAGGGUAACUCUUUUCAAGAGGGACCCGCAGCGAAAGCAAUUGUCCGCAACCUUCGGGUGAGGGACACAGUAUGAAAGUGCUGGAAGUCACUGGGGCAGGACCUGAAACCGAGCGAUCUAGGCCUGGGCAGGGUGAAGUCUCCGUAAUAGGAGAUGGAGGCCCGAAGAGGUUCUGUGGACAAGCGUUCUUCUGACCUGGGUCUAGGGGUGAAAAGCCAAUCGAGCUCGGAGAUAGCUGGUUCCAGUCGAAGUUGGCCGUAGUCAAGCCCUGGAGGAGAUUUCUGUUUUUGUAGAGAUACGGAUAGGGGAUUAUGGGGGAGAAAUCCCUCGGUUUUCUGUCCAACUCCAAAUGGAACAGAAUCGUAGAACCCGGGAGACGGGGGUUCGGGGUAAGCUUGAACUCCGAGAGGGGAACAACCCAGACUGUGGUUAAGGCCCCAAAGCAUCGGUUAAGUGUGAACGGGGGAAGGAUGUCAAUUUCCUUAGACAGCCGGGGGGUUGGCUUAGAAGCAGCCAUCCUUUAAAGAGUGCGUAACAGCUCACCGGUCGAGGUAGUUGGUUCCUAAGAUGGACGGGGCUAAACCGAUCGCCGAUACCACAGCAUUGACAAAAUCAAUUGGAUAGGCUGGCGUCCCGCAAGGGCAGAACUGUUUCCGUGAGGAUGCAGGGACCUUGUGGGAAUGAAGAUCCUGGCGGUAGUAGGAGCAGAGCACCGUGAGAAUCGGUGUCGCCGGAAGGGCAAGGGUUCCUUGGCAAUGCAGGUCAUCCAAGGGUUAGUCGAUCCUAACUGAAGUCCUAACAGGAGCUUCGGGAAAGGGAAACAGGUUAAUAUUCCUGUACCUGUCAGAUACGAUAUCGGCAACGAAAGGCGAUUUUUCGACGCUUCGGGCUAGGUUCACAAUCCCACAAGGAUUGUUAAGGCAUAUAAUUCCGUGGAGUGAUGUAAUGUCGAGAAGCGGAAUAAAGUGCUGAUGAGUUCCCGUAGGGGAAUUGAAUUGAAGCCUGGAGUCCGUGAAAAGAAAAAGCGCAAGGAUUCUGACAGUUCGUACCAAGAACCAGCACAGGUGCCCCUGGGUUAGAAGCCCAAGGCGUGUAGGCAUAAUCCAGUCGAGGGAAUUCGGCAAAAUAGUCCCGUACCUUUGGAAGAAGGGGUUCCUGCUACCGUAUUUGCAUAAGUGCGGAUGCAGGGCGCAGUGACUAGGGGGGUCCGACUGUUUAACAAAAACGCAGCCAACUGCUAGUUCGAAAGGAUGCGUAUAGUUGGUGAAGUCUGCCCAGUGCCUGUACUUUAAACCUCUGUUCAAGGAGGCCAAGAGCAGGUAAACGGCGGGAGUAACUAUAACUCUCUUAAGGUAGCGUAAUACCUUGCCGUUUGAAUGACGGCUUGCAUGAAUGGCUUAACGAGAUCCCCACUGUCCCCGACUGGAAGCCUCCGAACACUCUAUUGUGGUGUGAAGGCCACAGACCUCUAGUGGGACGUGAAGACCCCGUGAAACUUUACUGUAGUCUGUGCUUGUGGACUAAGCUUUAUUGCGUAGGCUAGGUGGUAAUCGUAGAAGCUUUUCCUUCGGGAAAAGUGGAGAUGAAAGCUGAAAAACCACCCUUUAAAACUUAUUCUGCUAACCUCUCGGAGAGAGGGACACGCAUUGAUGGACAGUUUGGCUGGGGUGGCACUCUGCCGAAAAGAUAUCGGCAGAGCCCAAAGGUUAGCUCACCCGGGUCAGAAAUCCGGGGAAGAGUGCAAGAGCAAAAGCUAGCCUGACUGGAUUCCAGACAAAGCCGAAUCCAGAGGCGAAAGCCUGGUCUAGCGAACCCCCGUGCCUCCAUAGUGGGGGCCGGGUAUGACUGAAAAGUUACUCCGGGGAUAAUGGAGUUGUCUAGCCCGAGAGCUCAUAUCGACGGCUAGGCUUGCUUCAUCGCUGUCGGCUCUUCCUAUCCUGGUCGUGCAGAAGCGGCCAAGGGUGGGGGUGUUCACCCAUUAAAAGGGAUCGUGAGCUGGGUUCAGAACGCUGUGAGGCAGUUUGUUUAAUAUCUACUAGAGGUGCGUAAAGGUCUGAAGGGAAGGAUCUUCUAGUACGAGAGGAACGGAGAUUCGAGGCCACUGGUUUACCUGUUGUCCUAAAGGGCACGCAGGGCAGCUACGCCUUAAGAGAUAAGGGCUGAAAGCAUCUAAGCCUGAAACUCUCCUUGAAAAGAGACCUAGAGCUCCCGAAAAAGACGGGUUUGAUAGAGUGGGGGUGUAAGCAU